rnacentral:misc_RNA from 1 species
GAUGAAGAACGCAGCGAAAUGCGAUAAGUAAUGUGAAUUGCAGAAUUCAGUGAAUCAUCGAAUCUUUGAACGCACAUUGCGCCCCCUGGUAUUCCGGGGGGCAUGCCUGUUCGAGGGUCAUUUCACCACUCAAGCCUCGCUUGGUAUUGGGCAACGCGGUCCGCCGCGUGCCUCAAAUCGACCGGCUGGGUCUUCUGUCCCCUAAGCGUUGUGGAAACUAUUCGCUAAAGGGUGUUCGGGAGGCUACGCCGUAAAACAACCCCAUUUCUAAGGUUGACCUCGGAUCAGGUAGGGAUACCCGCUGAACUUAAGCAUAUCAAUAAGCGGAGGA